AUUGAACGCUGGCGGCAUGCUUUACACAUGCAAGUCGAACGGUAACAGGCCUUCGGGUGCUGACGAGUGGCGAACGGGUGAGUAAGGCAUCGGAACGUGCCCAGAGGUGGGGGAUAACGCAGCGAAAGCUGUGCUAAUACCGCAUGUGAUCUGAUGAUGAAAGCGGGGGACCAGGCAGGAAUGUUUGGCCUUGCGCCUUUGGAGCGGCCGAUGUCGGAUUAGGUAGUUGGGGGGGUAAAGGCCUACCAAGCCGACGAUCUGUAGCUGGUCUGAGAGGACGACCAGCCACACUGGAACUGAGACACGGCCCAGACUCCUACGGGAGGCAGCAGUGGGGAAUUUUGGACAAAGGGCGCAAGCCUGAUCCAGCAAUGCCGCGUGCGGGAAGAAGGCCUUCGGGUUGUAAACCGCUUUUGUACGGAAAGAAAAGGCUCUGGCUAAUACCUGGGGCUGAUGACGGUACCGUAAGAAUAAGCACCGGCUAACUACGUG
rnacentral:rRNA from 1 species